GAUGAACGCUAGCGACAGGCCUAACACAUGCAAGUCGAGGGGCAGCACGAAGUAAGCUUGCUUACUUUGGUGGCGACCGGCGCACGGGUGCGUAACAGGUGUGCAAUCUGUCCAUAAUCGGGGAAUAGCCCAGCGAAAGUUGGAUUAAUGCUCCACGUGAGCCGAGGAGGCAUCUCUUUGGUUUGAAACGCAAGGAUUAUGGGUGAGCACGCUUCUGAUUAGGUAGUUGGUGAGGUAACGGCUCACCAAGCCGACGAUCAGUAGGGGUUCUGAGAGGAAGGUCCCCCACAUUGGAACUGAGACACGGUCCAAACUCCUACGGGAGGCAGCAGUGAGGAAUAUUGGUCAAUGGACGGAAGUCUGAACCAGCCAAGUCGCGUGAAGGAUGAAGGUUCUAUGGAUUGUAAACUUCUUUUGUCUGAGGGUAAAACAGCGGACGUGUCCGUUCUUGCAAGUAUCAGACGAAUAAGCAUCGGCUAACUCCGUGCCAGCAGCCGCAGUAAAAC
rnacentral:rRNA from 1 species